CGGGGGAGUAACCACGGGACCACCUGCCUUUUCAGAGGGGGUUACGGAUUGGAACGGAUUGGUUAAUCCGGCAUAACGCCACGAAGAGCCAUCUUCAUGCUGCCAAAGAAUUUUCGCUGAUAGAGGGGCUCGCGUCCGAUUAGAUAGUUGGUGAGGUAACGGCCCACCAAGUCGACGAUCGGUAGCCGGACUGAGAGGUCGAACGGCCACAUUGGGACUGAGACACGGCCCAGACUCUUACGGGAGGCAGCAGUGGGGGAUAUUGCACAAUGGGGGAAACCCUGAUGCAGCGACGCCGCGUGAGGGAAGACGGUCCUCUGGAUUGUAAACCUCUGUCUUCGGGGACGAAACGAGACGGUACCCGAGGAGGAAGCCACGGCUAACUACGUGCCAGCAGCCGCGGUAAUACGUAGGUGGCAAGCGUUGUCCGGAAUUACUGGGUGUAAAGGGAGCGUAGGCGGGCAGGCAAGUCAGGCGUGAAAGAUAUCGGCUCAACCGGUAGCUGCGCUUGAAACUGCAGGUCUUGAGUGAAGUAGAGGUUGGCGGAAUUCCUAGUGUAGCGGUGAAAUGCGUAGAUAUUAGGAGGAACACCAGUGGCGAAGGCGGCCAACUGGGCUUUUACUGACGCUGAGGCUCGAAAGUGUGGGGAGCAAACAGGAUUAGAUACCCUGGUAGUCCACACCGUAAACGAUGAUUACUAGGUGUGGGGGGACUGACCCCUUCCGUGCCGGAGUAA
rnacentral:rRNA from 1 species